rnacentral:lncRNA from 1 species
GGCCCAACACCAAGGAGAUACUCAGAAGGCUUGAGGAGAUAGCAAAAUAAUUAACUAAAUGUGGGUAGGUUCACCAUUCAGACGUAGCACGAGGCAAGGCUCAAGGAACGACUGAACCUCUGCUGGACGGAAAAUUGGAGAAUGGAGGCACACGGUUCAGAUAUCAUGGAAUGUGUAUAGUCAGAGUGUAAGCGCGGUGGAGGCCAUCGUCUCAAGAAUAUACUCAUUGUACGUAAUUUAUUUUCUUGUGCUUUGCUUGAAACCGACCAUGUACAAAGUGUUGAAAGAGUGGGGACGGCGUAUGCUGCAUGUUCAUGCAUCAAAAUCGCCAUGUCGAUGUAACCUUGGUCUGAUCUGAGUGUUAUAUCAGAUAUGAUUGGUAGGAGCAUUUGCUGUGCAGCUUGUGAUGUUCCCGGUGCAUGUGCGGUUGUUCUACUUGUACGCACUGACAAGGGCCGGCAGGGAGUGAUUCUCUCCAAGGGAAUUAUGCCCAGCGUUGCCUGAUUUCGGUCUCUGCACAGUCAUGCUGUCCUUAACAGUGGCUAGAUUCCGAAAUAGUAAGAAAUUAAGAUUCGGAACUUUUGGUUGUAGCUAGAUUGCUCAGCGGCAUGGCCUCAAAAACAGGUCACCAUCCACCACCUUCUCUUUCGCCGACACCAAAAGCGUAGCGUCCGUAACACACGGGCCUACAGUCUGCUGAUUUAUUUCGUAACCUGCAAAUGAAUCGCCUAUUCACUAUCCCACGUCAACAAAUGAUCAUCCUGUGCUAGCUUAAGCUUACCAAACGAUCUUCGGCUUGACGCCAGAAAAACUUACUGAUCAUCUCGAGUCUCCUUGUCCCUGAAUUAUCGUAAUGAGACGGAACAUGAAAGGCAUGUGUCAUGGCCUCCGCUGGCCGAGUGAUUAUCAGGUGGGUGAGGCCUUGGUUUGUGCCACCGGUUAGCCGCGGCGUCUCUCUCGCAGCGCAGGGAAAGCGGCAGCACGUGAAGCGCCAACGAACCCACCGAGAAAACUUGGAGCAAGCCUCCAAGCCUCCAAGCCGGGACCGCCUCUCGUCGUCCUCCAACUCCGCGGCCCCCUAAUGGUAGAUCUUGUGGGCACGUACAUACGUCCGUAGGCCGUAGCGUAGAUCAAAUGCCCCUGCGCGCGCUCAGGCCGGCCGGCCGGUCCGGUCCGGUGCACGGACGCCUGCGCUCGCCGUGCCGUAUCAUCAAUUUGCUAAUGCACAUGUCCCUUGGUCACAAAUCUUACGAUGUGUACUGUCGACGCGUUUUUACUGCCUCUGGCCCGUUGCCGACGCCGACGCCGAUGCCAUGGCCGUGCGCCGUGGUCCUCGCCCGUCCAUUCGCGGCUACUACAGUUGUGCGCGCCGUCCGUCGUGUAGCGUCUUGUGGGCAUGCGGCGUGCACCGUGUUUAACUUGGUAAGCUAAGCCGCACACGGCGAAGUGUUCGGGUCGGUGGGAGGCGGGUCACCGUACCUACCUAUGCGUCGACAUGUACCCGGUGUACGUACGUGCCGGGCCGCGACGGCGAUGGCUGGGGAGAGGAGAUGGUGGUGGAUUGGUGGUGGCGGUGGUUGCGCGUGGCUGGCGCGGCGGAGUAGGAGUGGUAGGGCGUCGGGGCGGUACCACGCGGAUUGGGUGCGCGUGCACGGCGCCGAGCGCAGGGGGCUGCGUGGCCGGAUGAUAGAUGCGUCGCACGCAGGCGCAGGCAUGUGGGCGUCAUGUGGUAGGGAGUUGGCUGUGGGUGCUACUACUGGGUGAGAUAAGGCUCUGAUAAGAUGUGAUUUGGCUACUGCCGCUCGCGAUUCGCUGCUGCGCUGUCUACUCAUUGCGAGAGUUGGUGCUUGUCACUGAAUGUGAAUGGUACCGUACCGGAGUUAAAUCAAGUGAAAGCAGCAAGUACCACUGCCGGUGCCGGGGUUUAUUUAUGUUGGGUUGCACUGCGGCGCUGCAAUCAUCGCUCUUCCGUGCGGCUUCAUUCGUUCCUUUGCUGGGGCCGGGGGAAACGGGUUGGCCUUGGCCGUCGCCGGCCGAAUGCAAUAUGGCAUCGCGACCCAAAGCUUUUGCUGCGGUAUUGCCGACUUGCAAGUUAAGUUUUUUUUUUUAAUGAACGAGCAAGCUCGGUUGAGAUCCUUGCCUUUUCAACCUUGAACAGCGGUAUUUGUUUUGAUAGAGUAUUUUUCAUUAAUUCAUAUUGAAACACAAGCAGAUGUACAAAAUACAACGAGCACACAGCCAGCCACUACACGACUAGGAUGCACACAACCAAUACACACACAAAGAUAUUCAUCACAAGAUCAAAACUAUGCCUAGGUCAAAUGGAAAAGAAAGAGAAAAGAAAAGGAGAAAGGACUUCGCCGAAGCAGUAGAAACAACCAUUGAUGUGGCAUGCCCUACUGCAAACAUGACUAGUACACAAGUCAUGGUGAGUACGUCGGUCAAUGACAAGCGGUUGCAGGCAACUUCGGCAGUCGUCGACAAAGGGGUGCGAACGGAGGAUAUUACGAAUGAGGCAGCGACAAUGCAUGUGGACGAGGCGGAUGUCGGAAAGAAAGUUGUUGAUGUGAGUUGUAAUUAUGUAAGGACAUGAGGAUUAUAUUGUAAAAGAACAAAAAUCUAAAUGAAGGGAGGUGAGAAGGGGAUCGGUAGAAGACCCCAGAUUUUUCCCCAAUGUCUCCUCUCCUUCAUGAACCCUAGUUCACAAAUCCAUGAGUGACAAGAUGGUAUCAGGGCGGGACGAAUCCUGUGUGGUUCUCCUGUGAUUUCGAUUGAUUUUGGUCGUCGGUGCGGUGCGGUGCUGUGUCGCUCCUAUUGUUGGAGGUGCUUCUGCUGCUGGCUUUGUUGUAGGUGUCGGGAAGCGACCUCGAUUCUGCCUGAAUCAAGUACAACCGGGGAGGCUCCUGCAGCUACCAGUUGAAUUGAAUAGAGCCUGGGCGUCUAGACUCCCUCCCCCGCUACAAGCUAAUUUUUUCUCUCCUGCCAUCCGGCGCCGUGAGCAGGUCUAGUUCGUCCCCAACUUGACUCUCGGACUCCUUGAGCUUCUGUGUUUUUUAUUGCUUUAGAAGAAGAAUCAGUGUUGCCUGGAGCUGCUUUGGUGGUCAGCUGGCCGGAUUAAAUAAUACUAUUUGCUAGUGUUGCAAUCCGAAGUAAUUGCCGUACUCUUUGGCACAUUGUUGAGCCGUACUAGUUGGUUCCUCUUUGUGCUGCACGUAUUUGAUAAGAAGAACCAAGUACUAGUGUUGGAAUAUAUUCUUGCUCACUGAACCAUGGGAGAUCCAAGUACAGAAAAACAGGGGAUUCUAGUGUUGAUAAGAUGUAUGAAAUAUUUAGCAAACUGCUUAAGCACCAGCAGGCUGCUGAGCCAGUUAAGCAUACACUUGAGCCAAAUCCAGUCAAACUAUCAGGACCUGGUGACUACAUCAGUUGGGCACGCCAUGCCAAAUUGAUUUUGAGCGCCAAUGAGUAUGAUUAUUUACUUGUUGGGAGUGAAGAAAGUUUGGAGAAAGGCGGUGCGGGCAGGAAACAAAUCAAUGAUAAAGUACUAGUAUGGCUGUUGGAAAGUAUGGAACCAAAAAUAAGAGAACAAGUGGAAGGCAUGGACACUGUUUGUGAGGUCCGGUCAUCUUUGAAGAAACAAUUUGCAGGGAAAACAAAUAAAAUGCAAGCCACCCAUAUCAUGCAUGAGUUAACUAAUUUGAAGCAGCGCUCAAGAUCUGUAACAGAGUAUCCAGGUGAAGUAAAAAAAUUAUAUAGAAACUUACAUUAUCAUCACCCUUUUGAACCUGUUGACAAGGAUGACUUGGCAAUUCAUCAUGUGUGGUUUGAGUCGUUUGUGAGCAAGCUCUUUCUUGAUGGCCUAGACCAGGAACUAAACCUCCGUCGUCAAUUGAUAUUUGGAAUGCCUGAGUGGCCUAGUCUUGAUGAUAUUAUUUCUAGCAUGAUUGAGGAGGAGACUCGUUUGGCACAACCGAAGGAGGAUGGUCAGGAGCGUGCAGAUGCUCGUGCUGCAUUAUCCAUACAACCUCGCCGUGCUACAAAUUCCUUUGGUAAGGUGGAUAAAAGCAAAUUGCUUUGUGACCAUUGCAAGAGAAAAGGACACACCAAGGAUGAGUGUUUUGAGUUGCAUGGUUAUCCACCUUGGUGGGAUAAAGGGAGAUCUCAGCUAGGGGGAGCUCGGGGUUCAAACAAAAGACAAGCUAAUUACAAUGCAUCUGCAAGGGAACUACAUGUGGUAGAUAUGCAAGCUCUUGAGGAUUUCAAAUCCAAGCUCAAAUUCUCUGAAGGCUCAUCUUCGUCCCAAGGUUCCUCCAAAGUUGAUUCUAGCUUUAAUGCCAUCACCCAAGGUAUGGAAUCCCACCAAGCCCAGUCAAAACCAUGGAUAAUUGAUACUGGAGCUACUAACCACAUGACAGGUGCCUCAAACUUGUUUACUUCAGGCACCUUCCAGUCCAGGCCAGCCAGGGUCCCGGCGACCCUCCUACUCCUACUCCUACCCCUCCCAACUGCCGCUGCCACUGUGCUCACCGAUUCUCAACGGAGGAAAUGGCCAUGCACAGCACACCACACCGCAGUGCACCUACCUAGGGUCGGUCCUCUACCUACCAACCCCCCCACUUUAACGCUAAUCUCCAACAGAAAAAAGGCCAANNNNNNNNNNNNNNNNNNNNNNNNNNNNNNNNNNNNNNNNNNNNNNNNNNNNNNNNNNNNNNNNNNNNNNNNNNNNNNNNNNNNNNNNNNNNNNNNNNNNCGAUUCUCAACGGAGGAAAUGGCCAUGCACAGCACACCACACCGCAGUGCACCUACCUAGGGUCGGUCCUCUACCUACCAACCCCCCCACUUUAACGCUAAUCUCCAACAGAAAAAAGGCCAAAGGCGACGGAGGCUGGACUCACUGGACUGGAAGCCACCCGGCCGGCCUCCUCCUCCUCCUCCUCAGUAGCCCUCACUCUCCCACACUGCUCACUGGUUGGUCGACGAUGAUAAAAACCUCCACACGAUAGGAAUCUCAAGCCAUCCUCCUCCUCCUCCUCCUCCCGGCAGUUUCCUCCACGGCUCCACCACCCCGAGCCCAAGCCAACCGAGCAAAGCGCACGCCAAAGCGAGGGGCUUUGCCUCGAAUCCUGGGCGAGCCGAGCCACGAGCCCCACCACCACUGCUUUCGCCUUUCCGUUCAUUCCAAGAACCGGCGUACGUACAUGGAGCCGGCGGCGGCGGACGGGGCCUCGGACGAGCCGGUGCACAAGGGGCGGACCAACUCCAUCCUGCUCCCCAUCCUCGCCGUGCUCCUCGCCUACCUGCUCUACCGCUACCUCCGCCCGCGCCUCCGCGGCCUGCGCCUCGACCGCCUCCCGUUCCGCGUCCCGGACUGCCUCCGCCGCCGCGGCAAUGCCACCCGGACCACCCUGCUGCCCUACUUCGCGCCCAUCGCCGACCGCCUCGGCGCGCUGCAGCCCUACCUCGGCCCCAUCGCCGACCGCCUCGGGGUCGGCGGCCCGCACGGCCACGGCGGCGGGUACGGCGGCGCCGACGCGCUCGUCAGGUUCCCCGGCGGCGAGGGCCUGUCGGUGGCCGCCAUCCUCGAGGCGCCUGGGGAGGUGGUGGCCAAGUCGUCGCACAGCACGCUCUACCGCGCCGCCAUGCGCUCCGGGGAGACGGCCGUGCUGCUCCGGUUCGUGCGGCCCGCGUGCGCCGUGGGCGCCGACGAGGCCGCCGCCGCCGCGCGCCGGAUCGGCGCCGUCAGCCACCCGAACCUCGUGCCGCUCCGCGCCGUGUACGUCGGGCCCAGGGGCGAGAAGCUGCUCGUGCACCCUUCUACGCCGCCGGCUCGCUCCACCGAUUCUUGCAAGGUCAGUGCAUGCGCAUCACUCACUCUUGCUUUGGUCGACAUGUUCAUCCUGAUUCGUACAAAUGCACAAUUUUGCUACGUCAAAAGUGCACAUGAGCCCACACCGCAAAUGAAACUUUUUCUUAAUUCUAUUUGUUGCGACGAGAUCACACAUGAAACAUUAUGCAAUUACAUUUCGUCACAAAGGGAAAAGCAUGGCGUGGUUGCGAAGCGAGUUCGAAGACUCCAAAAAGGCAGAUCAGCAGCUUUCACUAAACAAAAAUCAUUUGGGCCAUCAGUUUCAACUUUCUUUUUCGAUAAUCAGUAUCAACUUUUGAGGCAAUGUGGAAUGUGUUACACAGUUUGGUUAUGGUACAGAGUCCAUUUCUUAUUUCCAGUUCAUGUUCGCUGGUUCUUAUUAUUAUUGCCUACUGCGGCCAGGCAGGAAACAUUUCUCUGCUUUGGUUGUUAGCCUGAGACCUCACAUGACACUGUCCUGAAGCAAUGGUCCUGGCCAUUAAUGUUACAUAAGGUCAUUAGAUCACCCUUCACAAUCGUGAUCAUUGGGGCACACAAUCAGUCCAGUGUGUUGCUCAGUUAAAACAGUGGUUAGUGCUGUAUAGUCGUCUGUCAAACAGUAGUGAACAUAGUCAUUGUUGUGCCUUAAUUGAAGGCACAUGCACACAUGUGCAGUCUUUUCAAGCCAAAACCAUGCAUUCAUAAUAUUGGCAUUUGUUGUGAUGGUAGCUGAUGAUAGUCUGCCUGUGUGCUGCCAUUUUCACAGAGGGGAUCGCCGACUCGCAGAGAUGGAGCCUGAUCUGCAAGCUCUCCGUGUGCAUCGCCAAGGGGCUCGACCACCUGCACACGGGGAUGGAGAAGCCGAUCAUCCACGGCAACCUCAAGACGAGCAACAUCCUCCUCGACGCCAGCUACGAGUGCAGGAUCUCGGACUACGGCCUCUACCUCCUGCUCAACACCGGCGGCGCCCACGAGAUGCUGGAGGCGUCGGCGGCGCAGGGGUACAAGGCGCCGGAGCUGGUCAAGAUGAGGGACGCCACCAGGGAGAGCGACGUGUACAGCCUGGGCGUGGUGCUGCUGGAGAUGCUCGCGCAGAAGGAGCCCGCCGGCGACGACGACCGCGCGCCCAGCUCCCGCGACAUCUUCCUGCCGGCGUCGUUCAAGAACCUGGUGCUCGAGAGGAAGAUCUCCGACGCCUUCAGCUCCGACCUCGUCAGGCAGAGCAGGAAGUCGGGGAACGAGAAGAAGCUGAACGCGUUCUUCGAGCUGGCCACGGCGUGCUGCAGCCCUUCGCCGUCGCUCCGGCCCAACACCAAGGAGAUACUCAGAAGGCUUGAGGAGAUAGCAAAAUAAUUAACUAAAUGUGGGUAGGUUCACCAUUCAGACGUAGCACGAGGCAAGGCUCAAGGAACGACUGAACCUCUGCUGGACGGAAAAUUGGAGAAUGGAGGCACACGGUUCAGAUAUCAUGGAAUGUGUAUAGUCAGAGUGUAAGCGCGGUGGAGGCCAUCGUCUCAAGAAUAUACUCAUUGUACGUAAUUUAUUUUCUUGUGCUUUGCUUGAAACCGACCAUGUACAAAGUGUUGAAAGAGUGGGGACGGCGUAUGCUGCAUGUUCAUGCAUCAAAAUCGCCAUGUCGAUGUAACCUUGGUCUGAUCUGAGUGUUAUAUCAGAUAUGAUUGGUAGGAGCAUUUGCUGUGCAGCUUGUGAUGUUCCCGGUGCAUGUGCGGUUGUUCUACUUGUACGCACUGACAAGGGCCGGCAGGGAGUGAUUCUCUCCAAGGGAAUUAUGCCCAGCGUUGCCUGAUUUCGGUCUCUGCACAGUCAUGCUGUCCUUAACAGUGGCU